rnacentral:rRNA from 1 species
GGCGAGUGAAGCGGCAACAGCUCAAAUUUGAAAUCUGGCCCCUCGGGGUCCGAGUUGUAAUUUGUAGAGGAUGCUUUUGGUGAGGUGCCGCCCGAGUUCCCUGGAACGGGACGCCACAGAGGGUGAGAGCCCCGUCUGGCUGGCCACCGAGCCUCUGUAAAGCUCCUUCGACGAGUCGAGUAGUUUGGGAAUGCUGCUCAAAAUGGGAGGUAUAUGUCUUCUAAAGCUAAAUAUUGGCCAGAGACCGAUAGCGCACAAGUAGAGUGAUCGAAAGAUGAAAAGCACCUUGAAAAGAGGGUUAAAUAGUACGUGAAAUUGUUGAAAGGGAAGCGCUUGUGACCAGACUUGGGCGCGGCGGAUCAUCCGGGGUUCUCUCCGGUGCACUUCGCCGCGUCUAGGCCAGCAUCAGUUCGUCGCGGGGGAAAAAGGCUUCGGGAACGUGGCUCCUCCGGGAGUGUUAUAGCCCGUUGCAUAAUACCCUGCGGUGGACUGAGGACCGCGCAUCUGCAAGGAUGCUGGCGUAAUGGUCACCAGCGAC